UAGGGAAUCUUCCACAAUGGACGAAAGUCUGAUGGAGCAACGCCGCGUGAGUGAAGAAGGGUUUCGGCUCGUAAACUCUGUUGUUAAAGAAGAACAUAUCUGAGAGUAACUGUUCAGGUAUUGACGGUAUUUAGCCAGAAAGCCACGGCUAACUACGUCCCAG
rnacentral:rRNA from 1 species